rnacentral:rRNA from 1 species
AUGUCGUCCUCCUCCGGUGCUUCCCCUGCCGGCCUAAGUGGUUAGGUCACCGAGAAGCUUACUCGCACCAACUACAUAUUGUGGCGCACCCAGGUGACGCCGCAGCUGAGAGGUGUUGGGGUCUUCGACUAUGUCGAUGGAUCCGCGGCGGAGCCCGUCAAGGUCCUGGUCACCACAGACAAAGACGGGAAAGAACACUCUGCGCCUAAUCCCCUCCAUAAGAGUUGGGUUAAAGAAGGUCAGGAGGUACUUGGAUAUCUGUUGAAUAACCUCUCCAAGGAAGUUCUCGUGCAGGUUACGUCCAUC